AACGAACGCUGGCGGCAGGCUUAACACAUGCAAGUCGAGCGCCCCGCAAGGGGAGCGGCAGACGGGUGAGUAACGCGUGGGAACGUACCUUUUGGUUCGGAACAACUCCGGGAAACUGGAGCUAAUACCGGAUAAGCCCUAACGGGGAAAGAUUUAUCGCCGAAAGAUCGGCCCGCGUCUGAUUAGCUAGUUGGUGAGGUAACGGCUCACCAAAGCGACGAUCAGUAGCUGGUCUGAGAGGAUGAUCAGCCACACUGGGACUGAGACACGGCCCAGACUCCUACGGGAGGCAGCAGUGGGGAAUAUUGGACAAUGGGCGCAAGCCUGAUCCAGCCAUGCCGCGUGAGUGAUGAAGGCCUUAGGGUUGUAAAGCUCUUUUGUCCGGGAAGAUAAUGACUGUACCGGAAGAAUAAGCCCCGGCUAACUUCGUG
rnacentral:rRNA from 1 species